rnacentral:rRNA from 1 species
CUUUAGUGGCGAACGGGUGCGUAAUACGUGAGAAUCUGCCCUUAGGAGGAGAAUAACUUCUGGAAACGGUUGCUAAGUCUCCAUAUGCCGAGAGGUGAAAUAGUUUAUACUGCCUAGGGAUGAGCUCACGCCUGAUUAGCUUGUUGGUAAGGUAAUGGCUUACCAAGGCCACGAUCAGUAGCUGGUUUGAGAGAACGAUCAGCCACACUGGGACUGAGACACGGCCCAGACUCCUCCGGGAGGCAGCAGUGAGGAAUUUUCCGCAAUGGGCGAAAGCCUGACGGAGCAAUACCGCGUGAGGGAUGAAGGAUUUUGGUCUGUAAACCUCUUUUCUCAAGAAAGAAGUUCUGACGGUACUUGAGGAAUAAGCAUCGGCUAACUCCGUGCCAGCAGCCGCGGUAAUACGGGGGAUGCAAGCGUUAUCCGGAAUCAUUGGGCGUAAAGCGCCUGUAGGUUGUUUAAUAAGUCUGUUGUUAAAGACUAGGGCUUAACCCUA